rnacentral:rRNA from 1 species
AACGAACGCUGGCGGCAUGCCUAACACAUGCAAGUCGAACGAGACCUUCGGGUCUAGUGGCGCACGGGUGCGUAACGCGUGGGAACCUGCCCUUAGGUUCGGAAUAACUCCCCGAAAGGGGUGCUAAUACCGGAUAAUGUCUUCGGACCAAAGAUUUAUCGCCUUUGGAUGGGCCCGCGUUGGAUUAGCUAGUUGGUAGGGUAAAAGCCUACCAAGGCGACGAUCCAUAGCUGGUCUGAGAGGAUGAUCAGCCACACCGGGACUGAGACACGGCCCAGACUCCUACGGGAGGCAGCAGUGGGGAAUAUUGGACAAUGGGCGAAAGCCUGAUCCAGCAAUGCCGCGUGAGUGAUGAAGGCCUUAGGGUUGUAAAGCUCUUUUACCCGGGAUGAUAAUGACAGUACCGGGAGAAGAAGCUCCGGCUAACUCCGU